rnacentral:rRNA from 1 species
GAUCAUGGCUCAGGACGAACGCUGGCGGCGUGCUUAACACAUGCAAGUCGAACGGACAGACAGAGAGCUUGCUCUCUUGAAGUUAGUGGCGAACGGGUGAGUAACGCGUAAUCAACCUGCCCUUCAGAGGGGGGAGUAACAACGGGAAACCGUUGCUAAUACCGCGUACGAUUCAUAGGCGGGCAUCGCUUGUGAAUGAAGGGUGGCCUCUAUAUAUAAGCUAUCGCUGAAGGAGGGGAUUG